CUGGCCGUGUUAGGCUUCGCUGGCGUAAAGUCCCCGGGAGCUUUGCCCCUCACGGAGAACGUUAGUUGACCCUGAUGGGGACCCGUAGGGUAAAGGUUUUGUUUUUGUUUUUUUUUACGGAAAAGGUUGUGGUUAGGCCCCUUGGAAAGUUGCGACAAAACUCGAGUUAGACAAGGAAGGUCGGAACUAAGUGGCCACAGCAACAAUGCACCAGCAAGCAGGGAGCGUGAUAGGAAGAGCUAAAGAGGAAUCGGGAAACCCUGGAGAUGGGUUUCACCAUGUUUCCCAGCCUUGUCUCAAACUCCUGACCUCAAGUGAUCCGCCGUCUUGGGUCUUCGAAAGUGCUGGGACAGCAGGAGUGAGCCACCGCAUCUGGCCCGGAAAGUGUUUUGGAGCGUAGAAAAAUGCAAAUUAUAGGGCUGCCUUCAAGGAUCCCGAAGGACCCACAGAUUUGCCGCAUCAGGCUCCUAUGCACGCCGGUAAUUUGAUGUGUUGAGAUGCACUGCCCAGUGCGUUGUUUUUACUGGAGGAGCUUGUGUGCGGAGCUCCUUGCUAGUGUAUGUGUUGGGAUGGGAGAGAAGUGCGGGAGAACUAUGAGAUAAUGCCCCCUGAUCCUCAGGGUCUUAGGAGGUAUGGUCGGAGAGGCUAAGCUAAAGUAUGAAAGCCGUGUGUAGGCCCUUCUGUGUAGUGCAGAAAAGGUAGAGGUAUGUGAUUUGAAAGAGUAGGGAUGACAUGGAGGAUGCGACUCCUGGUUGGAUCUAUAAACUAAUGUCUUUGGAACGAAAGCACAUGCAACCUUUUGAAAAUGGAUGGGUGAUAAUGAAAGACCAUUCCAGAGAAGAAACACCAUGGUGCAAAGGCUCAAGAGGCAUACUGGAAGUACAAUGAAGAGAGCAAUCUAACUGAAAUGGGAAAAAAAGAAACAAAGAGUAAAAAGUAAGAUUUGAUGAGAAAGAUGGAAUCGAUUUUUAAAUUUUUUUAUCUACACAACAAAAUUUAUUAUCUUAACCAUUUUUGAGUGAAUAAUUCGUUAGUAUUAAGUAUAUUUACCUCGUGCGGCCAGUCUCCAGAAUUCUUUUCAUCUUGCAAAACAAACCCCGAACCCAUUAAACAAUUUCUCAUUCGCCAUUUUCCAGCUAGCCUUGGUAACCUCCAUUCUAGUUCUGUCUCUGUGAAUUUGACUGUGUACCCCGUGUAAGUGGUAUCAUACAGUAUUUGUAUUUUUGUGACUGGCAUAUUUCACAUAGCAUAAUCUCCUUGUGGUUUAUCCAUCUUGUAGCAUGUGUCAGAAUUUCCUUCCCUUUUAAGACUAAAUAAUAUUCCAUUGUGUGUAUAUACCACUUGUGUUAUUUCCACCUUUUGGUUAUUGUGAAUAAUACUGCUUCAAACAUGAGUGUACAGAUAACUCUUCAAGAUCCUUUUAGGGUAAUACAGAGAUAGUAAGUUAUCUUGAUUGUUCACUGCCAGUUACAGACCAAACUCCUUGUUCUCCUUGUGCUCCACUUCUCAACCACUGCACUUGGCUAGUCUUAAACAAAAAAAGAAAAACCCUAAUUUUAAUAGCUUGUGGGGACAGACGCAGUGGCUCACGCCUAUAAUCCCAACACUUUGGGAGGCCGAGGUGGGUGGAUCACUUGAGGUCAAAAGUUCGAGACCAGCCUGGCCAAUAUGGUAAAACCCUGUCUCUACUAAAAAUACAAAAAUUAGCCGGGUACGGUGGCACACACCUGUAAUCCCAGCCACUCAGGAGACUGAGGCAGGAGAAAUGCUUGAACCCAGGAAGUGGAGGUUGUGGUGAACGGAAAUUGCGCCGCCGCACUCAAGCUGGGCGACAGCGAGACUCCGUCUCAAAAAUUAGUAUUAAUAGAAUGUGGGAGAUUUUGAAACCAAGUAUAGAAAUUCAUACUUUAUAUUGUUUAAGGUCCGUGACUAGGCAUAGUAACAUGAUGAAAGAACUGUUUUGGGUUUGUUUGGUUUUUUUCCGAGACAGAGUCUCACUCUGUUGCCCAGGCUGGCGUGCAGUGGUGCGAUCUCGGCUCACUGCAACCUCUGCCUCCCUGGUUGAAGCGAUUCUCUUUCCUCAGCCUCCUGAGUAGCUGGGACUACAGGCACAUGCCACCACGCCCAGCUAAUCGUUGUAUUUUUAGUAGAGGCGGGGUUUCACCAUGUUGGCCAGGAUGGUCUCGAUCUCUUGACCUCGUGAUCCAGCCUCCCAAAGUGCUGGGAUUACAGGCAGGAGCCACCACGCCCAGCUAGAAAGAUCUGUUUCAGAAAGCAACUCUGGCAGUGGAAGCUGAAUACAUACUCCAUUUCUAUAAAGCAUUUAUGGAGGCCUCUAGAUGUGCCAGGCAUUGUACUACUGCUUUAUGUAAAUUAUUGAUGGGUCCGCGAAUCCAUUAAUAUAAAUGUGAGCCAGUUGUUGUGCACCCCAAUUUACAGGCAAGAAAAUCAAGGUUCUGAGUUGCAGAUGGGCUGAGAAAAGGCUCACCAACCACAUGUACGCACAAGAGAUUAGGAAAGAAAACUGCCAUUGGAGCCAGGCUCCAGUAAGCACUGAGUAUUCAUUGGUUUGGAUGAGGAUACUGAAAGAAAAAAAUGACAUGUAAGAGUGACUUUUCUCAGGAGAAAGAAUAGGCUGACAUCAAGAGUCUUUGCUGUCACAUUAGUGGUAUGUAUAAGGGCACAACACAACAGAAGUACAUUUUUCAAGGUUCGUAAAAGAACCCUGGGGUUUGCUUUUAGGUUUGUUUAUUACCUUUAACAAAUAUAAAAUGCCAGGUAAAUAUAUCUUUGUAUGUAGUAGAGAAAUUAAUAAGACAUACCCUUCCCUACUCAACAUUUCAUCUUUGAUUUUAUAUUCUCAAAAAUAUUGUGAGGUCUUUUAAGGAAAUGAUCUCCUUUUGGCAGAUGAGGAAAUUGAGGGCCAGAGAGGAAAAAUUAUCUUCCCAAUGCCACAUGCCUAAUUGGUCUCAAAGCUUUGACUGGAACCUGAGCCUCCAGAAUUGCUGCUAUGCUUUCAUCUCCCUUAGAGAGAUAGAUAACAGUAGUCAGAGUGAGUGGACAAUUCUUCUAUUCAGUCAGUCUGAUCUUCCUCAGGGAUGCAUAUCCAGACUCCCAUGCAGCUAGUGAUAGUUAAACAAAGAGGCAGAGAAUAUAGUGCAUUAUAAAUAGCAUUCAUACACUCAAAAAUAUUGUGUGCCGAUACUGUGCCAAACACUUAGCAAAGCAGGGAAAAAUCCCUGUCCUCAUAGCAGAGACUAAAAAUAUUAAUAAGUAAAAUAUAUACUAAGACAGGUAGGAUAAGUGUUGGCAAGAAAAAGUGAAGCAGUGAGAGGGGAAUAGGGUGAGCCGAGAGUAGGGAGGGAGGUUUUUGUUUAUACCAGAGGCAGAGGAGCCCCACUGAGAAGGCAAACUGUACAAAGAUCUAAAGGAGGCAAAGGAACAAGAAAUGUGCCUUGGGUGGACAGGGAACAUUCUGGGUGGAAUAACAAGUGCAGAAAUCAUUAAGGCAGAAAGAUGCCUACUACAUUCUGAGAACAGAAAGCAGUCCAGAGUGAUAGAAGCAGAGUACAGGAGGGUAAAAGUAGGAAAUGAAGUCAGAGAGGUAAGAGGAAUUCAAAUUGGGCAUGGACUUACAGGCCAUUGUAAGGACUUUGGCUUUUUCUGAGGGAGAUGGGAAGCCAUCGUUGAGUAGAAAAAUAGUGAAAUUCUACUUAUAUAUUUAAAGAAUCACAUUGACUUCUAGUUUGACACUAGAUUAUUGAGGAGCAAGGGGGACCACUUAGGAAGCUAUUGUAAUACUCCAGGUGAGAGAUAAGUGGCAUAGAAAAGGUGCAAGCAGUGGAGGGAUGAGGUAUCUGGAUAUAUUCAGGGUGGCACACAGGAUUUGAUGACAAUUUAUAUAGGAUAUGAGAAAAUGAAGGGAGUCCAAGGUGACUACGAUUUUUGGCCUGAGCAUUUUGAAGAAUGGUGUUGUCAUUUACUGAACUGGGAAAGAUGGAGGAGCAGGUUGGGGAUGGGAAGAGAUAAAUUCCAUUUUGGGCCAGGCAGGGUGGCUCACACCUGUAAUCCCAGUACUUUGGGAGGCCAAGGCAGGCAGAUCGCUUGAGCUCAGGAGUUCAAAACCAGCCUGGGUAACAUGGUAAAACCCCAUCUCUACAAAAAUUAGCCAGGUAUGGUGGCAGAUGCCCAUAGUCUCAGCUGCUUGGGAGGAUCACUUGAGCCCUGGAGGUGGAGGUUGCAGUGAGCCAAAAUGGCACCACUGCACUCCAGCCUGGGUGACAGAAUGAGACCCCGUCUCAAAAAGACAAACAAAAAUUCUGUUUUGGAGCUUAAAUUUGAGAUGCCUGUUAGAAUGCCACAUGAAAAUAUUAAGAAGAGAGUUAGAUAUGUAGGAGUCUGGAAUUUAGAAAUGUCCAGACUGGAGAUGUAAAUUUGGGAGAGAGCAUGUAGAGAGUAUUUGAAGCCAUGAAAUAAUCUACAUAUAAAGUGUAGACAGAUGUUUGAGAAAGGUAUCUUAGGCACUGAAACAGGAGGAAACCAGGAAAAGAAUCCCAGUUGAACUGGGUGGGGAGGAUGGCUCAAGGAAGAACAACCAUGUCAAUUGCUGGGUUCUAACUGGCCACUGCUUAUGAUAGUGGAGUAGUAAGGAUAAAAGCCUGAUUGGAAUGGAUUUAGAAUAGUGGGAACGGAAUUGGAGAGAGGGAGAAUAGAUAAUUUGGGUAUGGAGUUGGUUGUAAGGAUAGCGGGUAGAAAAGUGAUAACUGCAAGGGGUCAAGACAGUGGUUUUAAAAUUACUUCACAAAUUUUUUAGUAUUUCUAAAAGAAUUCUUUUUUUAAUAAAUAUAACUUCAGACCGCUAUUGUUCCUUUGUAUCAACUACCCUGUUAUUCAAAUUAACCCAACUGUCUUAUAAAAUUUUUUGCUACCAGCUUUAUUGAGAUAUAAUUCAUAUACCAUACUAUUCACUCAUUUAAAGUAUACAAUUCAACAACUUUAGUGCAUUCAAAGAGUUGUGCAGGGUGGGCGCGGCAGCACAUGCCUGUAAUUCCAGCACAUUGGGAAGCCAAGACGAGGAUCAUUUGAGCCAAGGAGUUCGAGCUCAGCCUGGGCAACAUGCAAAACCACUUCUCUACAAAAAUUAGCUAGGCGUGGUGGUGUGCGCAUGUAGUCCCAGCUACCUGGGAGGCUGAGGUGGGAGGAUUACUUGAGCCCAGGAGGCAGACAUUGCAGUGAGCGCCACUGCACUCCAGCCUGGGCAACAAAGUGAGACCCUGUCUCAAAAAAAAAAACAAAAGUUGUGCAACCACCAUUACAAUUUGUUUUAGGACAUUUUCAGCACCCCAAAAAGAAACAUUACUAUGCACUUAGGGUGAUAAUGAUGUGUCAGUGUAGGUUCAUCAAUUGUAACCACUCCGGUGAGGGAUGUUGAUAAUGGGGUGACUGAUUUUGAUUUGCUGUGUGUGUGUGUGUGUGUGUGUGUGUGUGUGUGUGUGAGAGAGAGAGAGACAGGGUCUCACUCUGUCACCCAGGCUAGCAUGCAGUAGCACAAUUACAGCUCACCACAGCUUCAACCUCCCAUCGCAGCCUCCUGAGUAGCUGGGACAACAAACGCGCACCACCAUGCCUAGCUAAUUUUUGUGUUUUCUGUAGAGACAGGCUUUCACCAUGUUGCCCAGACUCGUCUCGAAGUCAGCUCAAGUGAACCCCUGCCCUGGCCUCCCAGAGUGCUGAGAUUACAGGCCUGAGCCACCAUGCCUGGCCAAUUUGCUUUUUUUUUUUUUUUUUUUUUGAGACAGGUCUCGCUCUGUUGCCCAGGCUGGUGUGUGUGCAGGCUGGCACAAUAUUGGCUCACUGCAGCCUCCACCUCCUGGGCUCAAGCGAUCCUCCCACCUCAGCCUUCUAAGUAGCUAGGACUACAGACAUGUGCCACCAUGCCUAGCUAAUUUUUUUAAUUUUUUUGUAGAGACGGGAUUUAGCCAUGUCACUCAGGCUGGUCUCAAACUACUGGGCUCAAGUGAUCCUCUCACCUUGGCCUCCCAAAGUGUUGGGAUUACAGGUGUGAGCCACUGCACCCAGUAGAUCAUGUGUUUUUUAUUCUUUGUUAAUAUGGGCCAUUACAUUGCUUUUAUGAAUUCCCAGAGCAAAUCUCACUUGAUUAUGAUGUAUAAUCCUUUUUAUAUGUCACUGAAAUUGAUUUGAUAGUAUUUUGUUGAAGACUUUUGCAUCUUUGUUAAUAAGAGCUAUUGAGGCAGGGCAUGGUGAUGAAUGCCUGUAAUCCCAACACUUUGGAAGGCCAAGACGGGAGGAUUGCUUGAGCUCAGGAGUUGAAGACAAGCCCAGGCAACACAUUGAAACCCUGUCUCUACAAAAAAUACAGACAUUAGCUGGGCAUGAUGAUAUAUGCCUGUAGUUCCAGCUACUUGGGAGGCUGAGGCGGAAGGGUCACUUGAGCCCUGGAGGUCAAGGCUGCAGUGUGCCAAAAUUGCACCACUGCAUUCCAGCCUGGGCAACAGAAUGAGACCCUGUCUCAAAAAAUAAAUAAGUAAAUAAGAGAUAUUUGUCUCUAAUUUUCUUGUGAUGUCUGAUUUUGGUAUCAAGAUAAUACUGGCCAUAUAAAAUGAGUUGGGAAAUGUUCCCUCCUCAUCUAUUUUUUCAAGAAUUUGUGAAGUUUUGCAUUCAUUAUUAUUACUUUUCUUUUUUGAGACAGAGUCUCACUCUGUCACCCAGGCUAGAGUGCAGUGGCACCAUCUUGGCUCACUGCAACCACCUCUGAGUUCAAGCGAUUCUCGUGCCUCAGCCUGCCGGGUAGCUGGGACUAUAGGUGUGCGCCACCAGGCCCAGCUAAUUUUUGUAUUUUAUGUAUUUAUUUAUUUAUUUAUUGAGAUGGAGUCCCACUCUAUUGCUCAGGCUCCUAGGCUGGAGUGCAAUGGCGUGAUCUUGGCUCACUGCAACCUUCACCUCCCAGGUUCAAGCAAUUCUCCUGCCUCAGCCUCCUGAGUAGCUGGGAUUACAGGUGCGUGUCGCCACGCCUGGCUAAUUUUUGUAUUUUUAGUAGAGACGGGGUUUCACCGUGUUGGACAGGCUGGUCUCGAACUCCUGACCUCGUGAUCCACCUACCUUGGCCUCCCCAAAGUGCUGGGAUUACAGAUGUGAGCUACCAUGCCUAGCUAUUUUUUUUUUAUUUUAAGUGGAAACAGGGUUUCGUUAUGUUGGCCAGGCUGGUCUCAAACUCCUGGCCUCAAGUGAUCCACCCACCUCGGCCUCCCAAAGUGCUGGGAUUACAGGUGUGAGCCACCAUGCCCAGCCUGCGUUCUGUGUUUGUUUGUUUGUUUGUUUGUUUUUGAGACAGACUCUUGCUCUGUCACCCAGGCUGGAGUGCAGUGUUGCGAUCUUGGCUCACUGCAGCCUCUGCCUCCUGGGUUCAAGUGAUUCUCCUGCCUCAGCCUCCUGAGUAGCUGGGAUUACAGGCACCUGCCACCAAGCCCAGCUAAUUUUUGUUUUUUGUAUUUUUAGUAGAGACAGGGUUUCACCAUGUUGGGCAGGGAAUGGUCUCGAGCUCCUGACCUCAUAAUCCACCUGCCUCAGCCUCCCAAAGUGCUGGGAUUAUAGGCGUGAGCCACCACACCUGGCCAUCGUUGAUUAUUUUUUAAAUGUUUGGUAGAAUUUACCAGUGAAGCCAUUUGGGCCUAGGCUUUUUUUUGUGGGUAGUUUUUCUUUCUUUCUUUCUUCUUAUUAAUUCAAUCUCUUUAUUAUAAGUCUAUUCAGACUUUCUAUUCCUUCUCAAGUCAGUUUCAGUAGUUUAUGUCAUUCUAGGAAUUUGUCCAUUUUAUGUAAGUUAUCUAUUUUGUUGGCAUUUAGCUAUUCAUAGUAUUCUUUUUUGAUUCUCUUUAUUUCUGUAAGGUCAGUAUUAAUGUACCUGUCUCAUAAUACUGUUUUUUUCCAGUGUGUUCAAAUCAGGCCAAAUAAUUCUGAUACACAAUAUUCGAUUUAUUUGUCUCUGUGGUCUCUUGUAAUAUAUAGAUUUCCUUCCAUCUCAUUUUUUCUUGAUAUAUAUUUAUUGAAGAAAUGAAAUUACUUGUAUAUUUCUCACAUUCUAUAUUUUUCUGAUUGUAUUCUUGGAAGUCAUUAACAUGUUCUUCUAUCCCCUAGCUAGUUGAUAGGUAGUUCUUUAUUAUGAUUUAGGUUUGAUUUUUUUAUGGCAAACUAUUUCUUUUUUUUCCACCAGUUGUCAAAUGAUCCUUUACUGAAAUAUUUUCCUUUGUGCUUCUUAACUAGCUGGGCAUUCCACAGCACCACUGUUGAUGUCAUCUAUGAUUUCAUGAGGGUGGUGGCUGUCAACAUUACAACCCAAAGACUGGGCAGUCCCCAGGAUCUCUUUAAUGUUUCCAGAGAGUUCUCUGGAUCUCUCCAGAUUGGUGCCACAUCUGUUGAGCAAUGUUGAUGAUCUCAUCAAAAGUGAUAUUCCCACUGUGUUUAAUGUUUUUCUGUUUAUUUCUGUCUUGAUGGUUCCUCGAGGGCUUUGAUGAUCAGGGCAGAGGCAGAAGGCACCACCUCAAUCUGGGCCUGUCUGUUCUGAAUGGUCAGUUUUCACUGUAAUCCUCAGGCCCUUCCAGUCACCCGUUGUCUUGGCAAUGUCGUCACCAACCUUUUUUGGAGACAGACCCAGGGGGCCAAUCUGGGGGCCAGCGCAGACGUGGCACCAACUUCACCCCCAGUGCACCUCAGGUAUACGACUUUGAUCUCUUUGGGGUUGAACUUUGGCAGCAUGGUGGAGGCGGCUGGUGUCAGAUGAACCCGGAUUCGGGACUACCAAAGAAAGUUGCACCUUGGCCUCCUCCGAGCUCAGAUCCGAAAGCAGCAAAACUAUUUAUACAUCGAUUAUCAGGCACAUAGUUUCCAAUUUUAUCUCUUUUCGUGAAGUUGGCAGUCAUUGAUGACCACUGCCUAGGUUCAUUAUUACAAUUGAAAUAGUUCAAUAGAAGGCAGAGUAUGGGCAUCAAUCAGUCCAGACUAUAAGAACUUUUGGGAGGUGACUUUUGAUGAUUAUGAGUACUACAUUCUAUACUAUUCUUAGAACCUUGGCAUCAGGGCUGGGCGCAGUGGCUCAGGCCUGUAAUCCCAGCACUUUGGGAGGCCCAGGCAGGCGGAUCACCUGAGGUCAGGAGUUUGAGACCAGCAUUACCAAUAUGGUGAAAUCCUGUCUCUACUAAAAAUACAAAAAUUAGACAGGCAUGGUGGCUUGUGCCUGUAGUCCCAGCUACUCAGGAGGCUGAGACAGGAGAAUUGCGUGGAUCCGGGAGGUGGAGGUAUCGUGCCACUGCACACCAGCCUGGGCAACAGAGCGAGACUCCAUCUCAAAAAUAAAUAAAUAAAUAACCUCGGAGUCAGGAGAUGGGAUCUACUCCCAACUCUGCCACCAACUAGCUGAGCAUCCUCUUUGGCACCUGUUUUCUUAUCUGUAGAAUGGGGGAAUAAACUAAUACAAUGUCUAGGACUUUUGGCUAUUCUAACAUUCUCUGACUAAACAAGUAGAGGACUUAAUCUUUCCCAAAGAUGAUUUGGGUGAGUUAAAAAGGAACUGCUGACCUUGUGUUAUUAUUCCCAUUUCAUACCAAAAAUGUUUAUUUCAAAGCCAACAUUUAUCAGUCAUUAAAUCCAGUAAAGUAUAUAACAGAGUCCAUUAAAAGUAUUAUGAGGCAAGGUAUGGUGGCUCACUUCUGUAACCCCAGCACUUUGGGAGACCGAGGCGGGCAGAUUGCUUGAGUCCAGGAGUUCACGACCAGCCUGGCCCACAUGGCAAGACCCCAUCUCUACAAAAAAUACAAAAUUUAGCCGGGCACAAUGGUGCAUGCCUGUAGUCCCAGCUACUUGGUGGGGCUGAGCUGGGAGGAUCGCUUGAGCCCAGGAGGUCAAGGCUGCAGUGAGCCAUGAGUGUGCCACUCCACUCUAGCCUGGAUGACAUAGUGAGACCCUGUCUCAAAACAAACAAACAAAAAAAGUGAAAAGUAUCAGGAGAGCAGGAAGCCAAGGCCAAAAGCGUUGUUUUCUGGAUUCUAGUUCUGGCUCUGCAGCUAAUCAACAUGCACUCUCAGUGUCCUGUCCAUAGGGUAAAAGAUUGCAUGAGUAGCUCUAAAGGCCUGUAAGCUUUAUGAUUUUAUGCCUAUUCUUGAUUUUUCUCACAGUUUUGAGGAUGCUAUUUUUGUUAAUAUCUUUUUUUUUAUACUUUUAAGUUUUAGGAUACAUGUGCACAAUGUGCAGGUUUGUUACAUAUGUAUACAUGUGCCAUGUUGGUGUGCUGCACCCAUUAACUCGUUAUUUAACAUUAGGUAUAUCUCCUAAUGCUAUCCCUCCCCCCUCCCCCACCCUAUUUUUGUUAAUAUCUUUAGCGCUACUUGUUUUUAUCUGCAUUCUGAUUAUGCUUUACUCAGCAACUAACUGGCAUAGGCCUGCCCCAGGUGUCAGUUCGUAUAGCAAAUUCAGCUUGAGCAUAAAGAACUUUCUGGAAGCAAAGACACCAAAAUAUUAGCAAUUUAUUAUUUCUAGGUGGUAAGAUUAUUGGCGUGCACCACCACGCCCAACUAAGGCAUAUUUUUAUAAUAUUUUAAAAGUUAUUCUUAAGGCAUUUGAUAGCAUAUUUUUGAUUGCAUGCCCCAGCAAAGAGGAAUCACUAAACUUUAGGUCAGUAGAUUUCUUUCUCUUCCUAUAAUUCAGUUUGGCAGCAUCUUCCAUUCUAAGUUAACCUAAAUACUUUAGUAAUAAAGACUUACAUGUAUCUAAUUAGAUAGUCAGCUUUACUUAAUCUUCUUAAUCAUCUAGAUUAGAUGUUAAGUGAAAAAAUAUUUUGUGCCUACAGAAAUUAAGAUUCGGAAAGAACAGUAGCACAUACAUGCUAUCAACAUCUGUGUCAUAACUCAUAUGGAAUCUGGAUUUGCGCUACUUGGGGAACAGGUAGUGUCUGCUAGAGAAGUGGUGUGACAGAAACAUGGGCAAAGGCAGGGUGUGUCUUUUGUAAAUGAUGAAAACAGAAGAUUAAAAACAAGUUUGCUAAAUCAUGUUCAUAACCACUCCCUGGAGAGCAAUUACUCUGAUUACUCGACUUACCUGGUAAGUACCACCCACUGUAGGAGAAAAUACAGAUGUUUGGUUCACUGUUAUGGGUUUCCCCAUGUGCAAAGGUGUUAUGCUGCUGCUAUGCUCGUCUUUAAACACUGUAGUAGCAGUUACUGAAGAAUGGUAGAGUAAGGGGUGCCCUCACAGCUGUCAACUCACUGUGUGAUCCAGACGAGUAACGUAGCCUGGUCGCAAGCUCCAAGGUUACUUAUCUUUAGUGGAGGGGAUAGUUCUAGUUUCCAGUGUUAUCACGACUAGUAAAAUUGAUAUUAUAAAAUCCACUUCUCAGUAAGGAAGGCAGUUUGAAAGCGUUCUUGUUGUGAGAAGCAUGACAAAUACAGGCAGUUCUAUGGACAGUGUUUAUGUAAAACAAAUUAUUGAAUAGCCAUUUGAACAUUAACUGUUGCCCAGUGUGUUAUAAUGUGUACCUGCUCAGGCAUUUUGAAGACUCUUCUUACACCUAGUGAGGACCAAGGGCAAAUAGCAAAAAGUAACCUGACAUAGAGUUUUAGUUUGGAGAUUUUCUUUUGAAUUGCCCUCAGGGAGAUUUCUCAAGCAACACUGGUCCAUGCCAAUUUGCAAAUGGACUCUUGUGCCAGUGGCUCAAUCAACCCAUCCAAAUGCAGAGAACCAUUUGGAGGCAUUCAAAACCAAAUGAGGGGCAAUUUUCUUUCAUUUAUAUGCUGUCUGUUAACCUCUCUUUCACCAAAAAUUAACCUGAUUCUGGGUAUGCAUACCUGAAAAAACACAAUUUUUACACUCAAGGAAGUUUCAUUUUUUCAUAGGAAAAAAUCAACUAUUACUAAACUAUACAGUUACUACAGUGAUGGAGAUGUGUGCAGGCUGCUGUAGGAACAUAAAAGGGAGCGCCUAACAGGUGUGGGUGAGUCAAAGAGAGCUGGGGAGGAAUGAAGGCAACAUUCUUGAGCUAAACCAAAUAAACAAAACAUUGCAACUCACAAUUAUGACCUAUUUCAAACUCUUAGAACUACAGUAAUGAUUUAGACUAGUUCUCAUUUGGACAGGGUUUAUUUACUCUUACGGUUUCAAGCACCCCUUAAUCUUUCCAUUUUAACAAGGGUAUAUGGAGCUUCACAGAUAAUAUCUCCAAAAAUGGGCAUAUUUUGACUUGUAGACCAUCACCUGCACACACACUUCAAGGUCACUUUCAUACAGCAAAGUGAGGAAAGAGUUUAUUAGCUAGAUGAGAAUGUGUAAAUGAGGCCGGGUGUGGUGGCUCACGCCUGUAAUCCCAGCACUUCGGGAGGCUGAGAUGGGUGGAUCUCCUUUGGUCAGGAGUUAGAGACCAGCCGGGCCAACAUGGUGAAACCCUGUCUCUACUAAAAAUACAAAAAUUAGCUGGCAUGGUGGCGGGCGCCUGUAGUCCCAGCUACUCAGGAGGCUGAGGCAGGACAAUCCCUUGAACCCAGGAGGUGGAGGUUGCAGUGAGCCAAGAUCACGCCACUGCACUUCAGACUGGUGACAGAGCAAGACUGUCUCAAAAAAACAAUGUGUAAAUGAAACUGCCCUACUAUUUCUGCUUUAGUAAAAACAACAGAUUCUGGUCAGUAUUUGUUCACUUAUAUUGGGCAUAAGAUAAUUCCUGCUGUUUGUUGCAGAUCUUGGCAUACUGCCUGAUUGUCCUGCAUGGGAAUCUUGGACUGCUACUACAGCAAUUUCAUGACUGUGUUUCUUCUAUUUUUGUUUUUACCACGUUAGUUAUAUCAUGCAGUACUUGAAACGAAGGUGGAGUCUGUCACUCUGUCAGCCUGCAGUUUAAAAAGUUAGAUGAUGCAUUAAAAAAUCAACAAAUUUUGCCAGGAAGGCAGUGUGUGCCUGUGGUCCUAACUUCUCGGAAGACUGAGUCAGGAGGAUUGCUUGAGCCUAGCAGUUUGAAUCCAGUCUGGGCAACAUAGUGAGACCCUUUGUCUUAAAAAAAAUCAACACAUUUUAAAAGUAUUUCAAGAUUUGUAUUUGCCAUAUUUCCAAGCUAGUAUUAUUUAUUUAGAGUUUCCUAUUGCGGGUGAAAUUCUCUUGUCUUUUGCUGUUUGCAGUAACUUGAGUCUUUUUUCAUCUCUUCAGAUAAUCUACUUAUAUUCAUGCCAAGUUUUCUAGUUUUCCUAUUGCUUCCUCUAAUUUUCAAAUAGAGUAUAUACAAUAUUGAGCAUAGUUUCUCAUUAGUCUGUUCACAGUCACUAAACUAAUCCUCAAAUGUAUUUGAUUCUAUCACUUUCCAAAAUUUGCCUUUGCUGGUUCAUAAUAUAGUUACCUAACUUCCCCAGCUCUGCCCUCGCUCAUGAACUGUAUUUCUCUACAUUACCCCCACACUGCAUUGGCAUUCUGAGUCAUCGGGGAUUAGGUAUCCUUCCUGCUAUUAACUACAUAAUAUUUAAACUUCCCCACUUGCCCAUCUCCUUUAUUUCGUAUUCAAACACCACAUGAAUUAAACUAACGUUGGUUGCUUUUAACCUGUAAUUCCUGACUGCAACAGGUAGUUAGUUGCCACCUCUUGAAAUGAACAGAUUUGACUAGAAGCUGACACUUCUUACUCCCGCUGAACUUAGUAUUUUACAUUUAUAUAAAUUCAAAAAGCAAAAUCAUACCUUUCUUAUCAAUGGGCCCUCUUUGUCCAUUGAUAACAUAAUAUUGCAAUAUAAACAAAAAGUAUUUGUACCAUACCUCAGAAAACAAAUUAGAUUACUAUUAGUGCAAAACAGGGGAAAAGUAGAAAAAUGUUAUUGUAAAGAGACUAUCACCCACUUCAAGGGAUUUAUCAGGUAACUGCCUGUGUAAGUUACAAAGACAAUGCUAAUCUAUAACUAGUGUAUACCUAGAUGAGCCGCCAGGACAUUUGUCUAAUGGCAGAUGGGGUAAUUGGACUCCACAUCUUCAACUUAGGCACAUGGAAAACAGCAUCCCUAAAAGUUGCCUGGGGAUGACCAGUACUGAGCCAACCAGCUUAGUGGAACUGUUACGAGAGAGAAACUUCAGAGCCAAGGAAUUUCUUGGCAGAGCCUCACAUUCUGCCUUAGAAUCAUGAAAAGUUAGAUCUAGAAGGUAACAGAGAUCAUUUAAUCCACUGCCCUUAUUUUACGGUGAAAAACUGAAGGCCAGAGAAGUUAAGGAGUUUGCCUAAGGUCUCACACUCGUAGUUAGUGACAGAUUCAGAGCUAGAACUAGAUCAUCCUGACUGCAUUUCAGUAGUCUUAGAGCUGGCCGACAAAUCUGACAACUCACAUUGAACCCAUGUUCCAAAAGGUAUUUUAUAUUGAGCUUAUGAACACCGCUUUUUAAAUUUAUGUUAUUUAUUUAUUUAUUUAUUUAUUAUAUUUUAAGAUCUGGGAUACAUGUGCAGAACAUGCAGGUUUGUUACAUAGGUAUACAUGUGCCAUGGUGGCUUGCUGCACCCAUCAAUCUGCCAUCCUGUUUUAAGCCCCACAUUCAUUAGGUAUUUGUCCUAAUGCUCUCCCUCCUGUUGCCCCCCAUCCCUUGACAGGCCCCCGUGUGUGAUGUUCCCCUCUCUGCGUCCAUGUGUUCUCAUUGUUCACCUCCCACUUUUGAGUGAGAACAUGCGGUGUUUGGUUUUCUGUAUGAACACCCCUUUCACAGAAAAUUAGGCAAACAGGUUGGAAUAUUUAGAAUAGAAAACAUUUAUUAUAAAGUCACAAGAAAUACCUGUGUAGACUUGCUGACUGGAAGUAUUUGGCUUCCGUAAGACAAAGAAGAGUCUUAGUCAUCUGGUUAAAGUUAAAAACGAUUGUGUCACCAGGCUGAAAGCAGACAUGCUGUGGAAGCAGUAGGCUGAAAUUAGAACUGAAUACAAGAGUUUAGAGAAAAUUGAAUUUGGAGCUAUCUCACAACACUGGGAGUUAUUCUGUUUUUGUUUGCUUUUAAUAGGCACACAAAAAAGAAUAGUGACUACAAUGAACUCCUUGUGUAGCCCCACCAGACCCCAUUUUCUUCCCUCCCCACUGAAUUUGGUGCUUAUAUUUCCAUACCUAUUCAUGUGGUUUUCCUAUAGGUAAAUGUAUCCCUAAGUGAUGUUUAGCAUUAUUUUCAUAUUUUAAGCUACAUAAAUGCUAUCAUAUUGUAUAUAUGUGUCUACAACUUGCAUUUUUUUUUUUGCUUAAUACUACAUUUUUGAGAUUUAUCCUAUUGAUAAAUAGGAUUUCUCUAACUAAUUUAUUUUAUUUUUUGGAGAUGAGGUCCCGCUAUGUUACCCAGGCUGGAAUGCAGUGGCAGUUCACAGGCACAAUCAUAGCACAAUGUGGCCUUGAACUCCUGGACACAAGUGACCUCUUGCCUCAGGCUCCUGAGUAGCUGGGGACUACAGGCCCCAGCCACUGCACCAGGCCAGCUAAUUCAUUUUAACUGCUUUAUGGUGUUCCAUUGUAUGAAUGUUUCAACAUUUAGCUAAUCUCCUAUUGAUUGACAUCUAGUGAGUUUCCAGUUUUUUGAUUUGCUUUGUUUCAUUUGCUGUUUUAUUUUAAUGUUGCUACUGUAAACAUGUUUAUAAAACUGGUGCAUGUGUGAAAGAGUUUGUCUAGUAACAUUUACAAGGUCUCAGUGUGUGUGUGCAAAUCUUGAAUUUAGCAAGAAGAUCUCAAAAUAGCAGGUUAUGAGACUAACACAAGGACUGUGUAUUUUUAGAGUUUUAAUUUUUUGUGAAUCUGAAGAGUGUAAAAUACUGUUGCCUUCUGGUUUUAAUUUCUCUGAUUCCUUGUGGGGCUGAGUACCUUUCCAUGUGUUCACAGACAAUUUGGAUCUCCUCUUCUCCCUAGCUCACUUUUCAGAUGAGCUGCUGAACUUUUUAUUGUUCAUUCUGAAAAAUGUUCUAUAGUCAUUAUGUAAAUCCUUAUUAUAUGCAUUGCCAAUAUCUUCUCCUAAUCUGGAGCUUGACUUUUCACUUUUAUAAUGAUAUAUUUUCAUGAACAUAUUUAUCAAUCUUUUAUUUUUUAUUUAUACUUAUUAUUUCUUUAAAACAUCAUUUUUUCACUCUAAGGUCAUAAGAUAUUCCCCAAUAUUUUUCUUUAGUUUUUUUAAAGUUUUAUUUUUUUACAAUCUUCAAGUCUUUUAUGUGCCAGGAAUUAACUUGUGUGUAGUGUGAGGUCAGGAGCUAGUUUUAUUUUUUUCUACAUCGACAAGCAAUUGUUUAGAAACCAUUAAUUGAAUAUUACAUUUCUUCCCCACAGUUGGGUAAUGGCACUUUCAUCAUAUAUCCUGGACUCUCUAUCAGUCAGGUUAUUAUUCCUGUGCCUUAUUAUACCAUAUUAACUACUAUAUCUUUAUGGUAAGUCUCAAUAUCUGGAAAGCCCCUAUUUGUCAAGUGGAUGCAAUGGGAGCUAGAUGGAUUUGCACUAUCCUUCUUGAAUACCAUCCAAGAGGUAUGAAUACUGUGGGGAAGGAAACCCAGAAGGAUGUUAUCUUAGCCCUUUUGUGUUGCUAUAAAGGAAUACUUGAGGCUGUGUAAUUUAUAAAGAAAAGAGGAUUAUUUGGCUCACAGUUCUGCAGGCCUUAUAAGAAGCAUGAUCCAGCCUGACCAACAUGGUGAAACCCUGUCUCUACUAAAAAUACAAAAAUUAGCCGGGCAUGGUGGUGCGCCUGUAGUCCCAGCUACUCAGGAGGCUGUGGCAAGAGAACUGCUUGAACCUGGGAGGUGGAAUUUGCUGAACCAAAAUCAUGCCACUGCACUCCAGCCUGGGUGACAGAAUCUCAGGGAAAAAAAAAAAAAAAAGCAUGAUGCCAGCAUCUGCUUCUGGCAAGGGCUUCUGGCUGUUUCCACCAGUGGCAGAAGGGUAAGGGGAACUGGCAGAUUCAGAGAUCAUAUGGUGAGAGGGGUGGCAAGAAGUGGGAGGAGGUUCCAGGCUGUUUUUAGUGACCAGCUUUCCUGGGAACUAAUAGAGUGAGAACUCAGUACCACAAGGACAGCACCAAGCCAUUCAUGAGGCACCUGCCCCAUGACUGAGCAAAACACCUUCCAUUAGGCCCCACCUCUAACAUGGGGGACCACAUUUUAACAUGAGGUUUAGGGGGACAUGAAAACUAUAUCGGAGACUAUGGGGUCAGUCAUUGUUGCAGUAGCUGAGUGGGGAAAUGGGAAUCCUGGAACUGGAGAUCAGUGUCCCACAUCAAGGAACUGUGCUCUGUGGAGACCUGUGGGCCCUCUAAGAACUCACAUGUGUGUCUCCUGAGAGACAUCCAGGCCUUGGAUACCUGACCACAAAGGGCCUCUUGUGGUCCUUCAGUGUUAUUAAGUAGAACAACAGCAACCAGCAGAGGACUCCAGUUGCUUCCAGUGAAGUAAAAAGUCACUUUCUCUGAAAGUGGAGUUAAGAACACAAUUCUCCUUACAAUGGCUGGACGUGCUGGCUCAUGCUUGUAAUCCUAGCACUUUGGGAAACUGAGAUGGGCAGAUAACUUGCGGCCAGGAGUUCGAGACCAGCCUGGCCAACAUGGUGAAACCUUGUCUCUACUAAAAUACAAAAAUUAGCAGGGUGUGGUGGCACAUGCCUGUGGUCCCAGCUACUUGGGGGACUGAGGCAUGAGAAUCCCUUGAACCUGGCAGGUGGAGGUUGCAGUGAGCUGAGAUCACACCACACACUUCAGCCUGGGCAACAGAGCGAGACUCCAUGACAGAAAGAGAGAGAGAGAGAGAAAGAAAGAAAGAAAAUUCUUCUUACAAUAACAGCAAAAAGAAUAAAACAGGAAUAGAUUUAGCAAAAGAAGUACAAGACUUGUACACUGAAAACUGUUGAAAGAAGUUAAAGAAGACCAAACAAAAUCCCAGCCAGCUUCUUUGUACAAAUUGACAAACUAAUCCUACAAUUAAUAUGGAAAUGCAAGAGACCAAGAAAAGCCAAACUAUUUUGGAAAAAAAAAAUAACAAAGUUCCUGGAGGACUCACACUUUCUAAUUUCAAAGCUACAAUAAUCAAAACUUACUACAAACCCAAAAUAAUCAAAACGGCAUGGUAUUGGCCUACAUAUAGACAUAUUGACCAAUGGAAUAGAAUUAAGAGUUUAUAAAUAAACCCAUACAUCUGUGUUGAAUUGAUUUUCAACCAGGGUGCCAAUUCGGUGAGAAACAAACAUCCUUUCAACAAAUGGCUCUAGGACAACUGGAUAGCUACAUGCAAAAGAAUGAAGUUAGACCCCUUGCCUCACACCAUAUGUAGAAAUCUACAUGAAACUAAAACUGCUUUAAAAAAUAGUCUAUUUAUUUAGAAACAGGGUCUUGCUCUGUCACCCAGGCUGGAGUACUCUGACACAACAAUAGCUCACUGCAGCUUCAAACUCCUGGGCUCAAGUGAUGCUCCUGCCUCAGCCUCCUGAUAGCUAGGAUUACAGACAUAUGCCACCAUGCCCAGCUAUUAUUUAAUUUUUUGUACAGACCAAGACUGGGUCUUGCCAUGUUGCCCAGGCUGGUCUCAAACUGCUGGGCUCAAGUGAUCCUCCCACCUCGGCCUCACAGCACACUGCUGCAAAUUCCAUGAGAUGGGUGAAAAACUAUGAGUUCCCAACAUGUGAGAAGGGGGAAACCUGCCUCUGAACACACAUCUCCACUGGGGAACCUCAAAACCCAGAUUAUGGAAGAAGGAUUUAACCUUGCCUAGAGCUGAAAUGGAUUUAGUAUAAAAUAUAAAAGUAGAAAUAGUAGCAGGAAGAGCCUUGUAGGCGCUCCCAUUCUCCAGCUUGGGCCAGGGAAGCCAUCCCUGACUGUAUCUCACCGAGGCCAUUGAGGAAGACAGUUGGCAGAAUUUGGGCAGGGUCGCAGGGUGAAAUAAGCUUCCAACUGAACUGUGUAAUAAUUUUGACUGGGCGCAAACUCUGUCGAGCAGAAAUCGGGGGUGAAAGUGAACUGCUGCAGAAAGGAGCAUAGGAGCCACAGCUGACAGUGUGGGCAGACAGGGAGGGGCAAGGCCUGAAAGCCAUGCUUGCUUUCUUAGUGGGGAAACUUAUACCCUGGGGCUAGGUCUGAGUCCUGCACACCAGCUGCCUGGAGAUAAACUGUGCUGUUAGCGGGGCACAGUGGGAGUGAAACUGGCCUUGCCAACUGUGUGGUAGCUGGGUGAGCCCUGUGGCUACUUACUUUCCCCCACUUCCCUGGUGACAGAGGCGCCAUAAUCCACACUGGAACAUAACCCCAUUUGCCUGAGAAUCAGCCCCCUAUCCCCCACAGUGGCUGUGGCAAAAAGAGUCUGAGCUCAGACCUGCCUAAUCCUGCCCCAACCUGAUGGUAUUUCCCUACCCAUCCCAGUGCCCAGUCACAAAAGACAAACUCUUGGGAGCUUUAUGGCCCUACUUAUCACAUGAGAAACCUGAACACUUAUCCUGACCAACUUAGGGCAAGCUUAUAUCCCCCUUCUACUAUCACAGCUGGUGCUCUCCUGAACAUACCACCUCCUGGCUGGAGGCCAACCAACUCAAGAUAUGACAGCAACUCAUGACAAAAUAACACUGCUCCAAGGAAGGAAAAAACAGCUAACUCCACUAUCUGCAACAUCCUGGCUAAACAGAGGUCCUGUCCAUGUGGCAACAUCACUGCUAUCAUAACCAGCAUUUGAGAAAGCCAGCACACUAAACAUCUACAACCAAGGCUUCUCAUAGAGUCUAUGUCACUACCCUGCCACCUCCCCCAGAGGAGGUGCUGGUAUCCAUAGCUGGGAGACCUGAAGAUGGAUUACAUCACAACACUCUUUGCAGACACUCCCCAGCAUGAUCCUGGAGCUUGGAAGCCCCACUGGAUGCCUAGACCCAGAAAAGCAAUAACAAUCACCACAGUCUGGCUCUCAGAAAGCCCCAUCCCUAAGGAAAGGGGGAGUGCACCACAUCACGGGAUCACCCUGUGAGACAAAAGAAUCUGAACAGCAGCCCUUGAGUUCCAGAUUUUUCCACUAAAAUAGUCUACCCAAUAAGAAGAAAUCAAAAACAUAAUUCAGGUAAUAUGACAAAACAAGGUUCUAUAACACCCACAAAAGACCACACUAGCUUCCUAGCAAUGGAUCCAAACCCAGAAGGAAUCUCUGAAUUGCCACAUAAAGAAGUCAGAAGGUUGAUUAUUAAGCUACUGAAGGAGAUACUAGAGAAAGGUGAAAACCAACUUAAAGAAAUGUAAAAAUCAAGCCAGGUGCGGUGGCUCACGCUUGUAAUCCGAGCACUUCGGGAAGCCAAGGCAGGUCACUUGAGGCCAGGAGUUUGAGACCAGCCUGGCCAACAUGGCAAAACCCUGUCUGUACUAAAACAAAAACAAAAAUUAGCCUGGCUUGGUGGUACAUCCCUUUGGUCCCAGCUACUCAGGAUGCUGAGGUGGAAGGAUCACUUGAACAUAGGAGGUAGAGGUUGCAGUGAGCCAAGAUCAUGCAACUGCCCACCAACCUGGGUGACAAGCAAGACCCUCUCUCAAAACAAAACAAAAAGUUAAAAAAAAAUACAGGACAUGGAUGAAAAAUUCCCCAGAGGUAUAGAUAUCAUAAAGAAAAAACAAUUGGGCCGGGCGUGGUGGCUCAUGCCUGUAAUCCCAGCAUUUUGGGAGGCCAAGGCGGGCAGAUCACCUGAGGUCAGGAGUUCGUGACCAGCCUGACCAAAAUGGAGAAAUGCUGUCUCUACUAAAAAUACAAAAUUAGCUGGGCGUGGUGGUGCAUGCCUGUAAUCCCAGCUACUUGGGAGGCUGAGGCAGGAGAAUCGCUUGAACCCAGGAGGCAGAGGUUGUGGUGAGCCAAGAUCAUGCCAUUGCACUCCAGCCUGGGCAACAAAAGUGAAACUCUUGUCUCAAAAAAAAGAAAAAAAGAAACAAUCACAACUUCUGGAAAUGAAAGACACACUUAGAGACAUACAAAAUGCACUGGAAAGUGUCAACAAUAGACUAGAACAAGUAGAAGAAAAAACUUCAGAGCUUGACAAGGCUUUUGAAUUAACCCAAUCAGACAAAGACAAAGAAAAAGGAAUUUUACAAAAUGAAGAAAGCCACCAAGAAAUUGGGGAUUAUGUUAAAUAGACAAAACUAAAAAUAAUUGGUAUUCCUGAGGAAGAAGAGAAAUCUAAAAGUUUGGAAAACUUAUUUGAGGGAAUAAUCAAGGAAAACUUCUCUGGCCUUGCUAGAGAUCUAAACAUCCAAAUAGAAGAAGCUCAAAGAACACCUGGGAAAAUCAUUGCAAAAAGAUCACCUAGGCACACAGUCAUCAGGUUAUCUAAAGCCAAAACAAAGGAAAGAAUCUUGAGAGCUGCAAGGCAAAAGCCUCAGACAACCUAUAAAGGAAAACCUAUCAGAUUAACAGCAGAUUUCUCAGCAGAAACUCUACAAGCCAGAAGUGAUUGAGGUCCUAUCUUUAGCAUCUUCAGACAAAAUAAUUGCUAGACAAGAAUUCUGUAUCCAGCAAAACUAACCUUCAUAUAUGAAAAAGAGAGAAAUUAUUUUUCAGACAAACAAAUGCUGAGAGAAUUUGUCACUACUAAGCCAGCACUACAAGAAAUGCUAAAAGGAUUUCUAAAUCUUGAAACAAAACUUCAAAAUAUACCAAAAUAGAAACUCCUUAAAGCAUACAUUUCACAGGGCCUAUAAAACAAUGAAAAACAAACAAGGUAUUCAGGCAACAACUAGCAUGAAGAAUAAAAUAGUACCUCACAUCUCAAUAAUAAAAUGAAUAUAAAUGGCCUAAAUGCUCCUCUUAAAAGAUGCAGAAUGGGCUGGGUGUGGUGGCUCACACCUGUAAUCCCAGCACUUUGGGAGGCUAAGGCAGGCAGAUCACGAGGUCAGGAGAUCAAGACCAUCCUGGCUAACACAGUGAAACCCCGUCUCUACUAAAAAUACAAAAAAAUAGGCCAGGCAUGGCAGCAGGCACCUGUAGUCCCAGCUAACCAGGAGGCUGAGGAAGGAGAAUGGUGUGAACCCAGGAGGCGGAGCUUGCAGUGAGCCGAGAUCGUGCCUCUGCACUCCAGCCUGGGCGACAGAGCGAGACUCCGUCUCAAAAAAAAAAAAAAAAAAAAAAAAUUGCAGAAUGGCAGAAUGGAUAAAAAUCUACCAACCACAUAUCUUCUGUCUUCAAGAGACUGGCCUAAUGCAUAAGGAUUCACAUAAACUUAAUGUAAAGGAGUGGGAAAAGAUAUUCCUUGCAAAUGGAAACCAAAAGUGAGGAAGAGUAGCUAUUCUUAUAUCAGACAAAACAGACUUUAAAGCAACAAGUUAAAAAAGACAAAGAGGGACAUUAUAUAAUAAUAAAAGGAUCAUUUCAACAAGAAAAUAUCACAAUCCUAAAUAUAUAUGCACCUAACACUGGAGGUCCCAAAUUUAUAAAACAAUUAUUACUAGACCUAAGAAAUGAGAUAGAUGGCAACACAAUAAUAGUCAGGGACAGCCGGGUGCAAUGGCUCACAACUGUAAUCCCAGCACUUUGGGAGGCCAAAGCAGGUGGAUCACCUGAGGUCAGGAGUUUGAGACCAGCCUGACCAACAUGGCAAAACCCUGUCUCUACUAAAAAUACAAAAAGUAGCUGGGUGUGGUAGCACAUGCCUGUAUUCCCAGCUACUCAGGAGGCUGAGGUAGGAGAAUCGCUUGAACCCAGGAGGCAGAGGUUGCAGUGAGCUGAGAUUGUGCCACUGCCCUCCAACAUGGGAGACAGAGCGAGACUCCAUUUCAAAAAAAUAAAAGAAUAGUAGUUGGGGACUUCAAUACUCCAGUGACAGCACUAGACAAGUCAUCAAGCCAAAAAGUAAACAAAGAAACAAUGGAGCUGGACAUGGUGGCUCACACCUGUAAUCUCAGCACUUUGGGAAGCCAAAGUGGGCAGAUCACCUGAGGUCAGGAGUUUGAGACCAGCCUAGCCAACGUGGUGAAACCCCGUCCCUACUAAAAAUACAAAAAUUUGCUGGGUGUGGUGGCACAUACCUGUAAUCCCAGCUAAUCAGGAGGCUGAGGCAGGAAAAUCGCUUGGACCCCAGAGGUGGAGGUUGCAGUGAGCCAAGAUCAUGCCACUGCACUCCAGCCUGGGUGACAGAGUGAGACUCUGUGUCACAAAAGGAAGGAGGGAAGGAAGGAAGGAAGGAAGGAAGGAAGGAAGGAAAAGAAUUUAAACUAUACCAUAGAACAAAUGGUCUCAACAGAUAUUUACAGAACUUCUACCUAACAACUACAGAGUAUACAUUCUUUUUAGCAACACAUGGAACAUUCUCCAAGAUAAAACAUGGUGGGCCACAAAACAUGUCUCAGUAAAUUUAAGAAAACUGAAGUAAUAUCAAGUACUCUUUCAGACCAUACUGGAAAAAAACUGGAAAUUAACUCCAAAAAGAACCCUCAAAACUAUACAAAUACAGGGAAACUUAAUAAACUGCUCAUGAAUGAUCUUUGGGUCAGCAAUGAAAUCAAGAUGGAAAUUAAAGAAUUAUUUGAACUGAAUGAUAAUAGUGACAGAACUUAUCAAAACAUCUGGCAUAUAGCAAAAGUGGUUCUAAGAGGAAAGUUCAUAGCAUUAAAUGCCUAUAUCAAAAAGUCUGAAAAAGCACAAAUAGCCAAUCUAAGGUCACACGUCAAGUAACUAGAGAAAUAAGAGCAAACCAAACCCAAACCCAGCAGAGGGAAAAAAAAUUACAAGGAUCAGAGCAGAACUAAAUGAAAUUGCAAUACAAAAAUGUAUAAAAUAUAAAUGAAACAAAAAGCUAGUUCUUUCAAAAAAAAUGAUAGACUGUUAGUGAGAUAAACCAAAAAAAGAAGGGAGAAGAUCCAAAUAACUUCACUUAGAAAUGAAACGGGAGAUAUUACUACUGAUAGCACAGAAAUAAAAAAUGAUUUAAGACUACUGUGAACACCUUUACACACACAAACUAGAAAACCUAGAGGAGAUGGAUAAAUUUCUGGAUAUAUACAAGCCUCCUAGAUUAAAUCAGGAAGAAAUAGCAACUCUGAAUAGACCAAUAACAAGUAGUGAGAUUGAAACAGUAAUGAAAAAAAAAAUGCCAACAGCAAAAAAAAGGUCCAGGACUAGAUGGAUUCACAGAUGAAUUCUAUCAGGCAUUUGAAGAAGAAUUGGUACUGAUCGUAAUGAAAUUAUUCCAAAAGAUAAACUGGAAAUCCUCCUUAAAUAAUUCUAUGAAAGCCGGGUGCAAUGGCUCAUACCUAUAAUCCCAGCACUUUGGGAGGCUGAAGCAGGCAGAUCACUUGAGGUCAGGAGUUCAAGACCAGCCUGGCCAACGUGGUGAAACCCCAUCUCUACUAAAAAUUCAAAAAUUAGCUGGGCGUAGUGGCAGGCACCUGUAAUCCCAGCUACUCAUGAGGCUGAAGCAGGAGAAUUGCUUGAACCUGGGAGGCAGAGAUUGCAGUAAGCCAAGAUUGCACCACUGCACUCCAGCUUGGGCAACACGAGCAAAACUUCGUCAAAAAAAAAAAAAAAAAAAACUCUAUGAAGCCAGUAUCACUCUAAUACCCAAACCAGGAAAAGACAUAACAACAACAACAAAAAUGCAGACCAAUAUCCCUGAUGAACAUAGAUGGGAAAAUCCUCAACAAAAUACUGGCUAACCAAAACCAACAGCAUAUCGAAAAGAUAGCACAUCAUGAUAAAGUGGGUUUUAUACUAGGGAUGCAGGGAUGGUUUAACAUAUGCAAGUCAAUAAAUGUGAUACAUCACAUAAACAGAAUUAAAAGCAAAAAUCAUAUGAUCAUCUCAAUAGAUGCUGAAAAAGCAUUUGACAAAAUCCAGCAUCCCUUUAUGAUUAAAACCCUAAGCAAAAUCAGCAUAGAAGGGACAUACCUCAAGGUAAUAACCAUCUAUGACAAACCCUCAGGCAACAUUAUACUGAACAGGGAAAGGUUGAAAGCAUUCCCCCUGAGAACUGGAACAAGACAAGGAUGCCCAUUUUUAUCACUGCUAUUCAAUAUAGUACUGGAAAUCCUAGCCAGAGCAAUCAGACAAGAGAAAGAAAUAAAGGGCAUCCAAAUUGGUAAAGAGGAAGUCAAACCAUUGCUGUUUGCCGAUGAUAUGAUUGUAUAUCUAGAAAACCCUAAAGAUUCAUCCAAAAAGCUCCUAAACCUGAUAAAUGAAUUCAGUAAAGUUUCAGGAUAUAAAAUCAAUGUACACAAAUAAGUAGCACUGCUAUACACCAGCAGUGACCAACCUGAGAAUCAAAUCAAGAACUCAACCCUUUUAACAACAGCUGUAAAAAAUAAUAUAAAAUACGUAGAAAUAUACCUAACCAAGAAUGUGAAAGAUCUCUACAAGGAAAACUACAAAAUACUGCUGAAAUAAGUCAUAGAUGACACAAACAAAUGGGAACACAUCUCAUGCUCAUGGAUGGGUAGAAUCAAUAUUGUGAAAAUGACCAUACAGUCAAAAGCAAUCUACAAAUUCAGUGCAAUUCCUGUCAAAAUACCAUCAUUAUUUUUCACAGAACUAUAAAAAUAAAAUCCUAAAAUUAAUAUGGAACCAAAAAAGAGCCCACAUAGCCAAAGCGAGACUAAGUGAGAAGAACAAAUCUGGAGGCAUCACAUUACCUGACUUCAAACUAUACUACAAGGCUAUAGUUACCAAAACAGCAUGGUACUGGUAUAAAAAUAGGCGUGUACAUCAAUGCAACAGAAUAGAGUACCCAGAAAUAAAGCCAAAUAUUUAAAGCCAACUGAUCUUCGACAAAGCAAACAAAAACAUAAAGUGGAGAAGGACACCCUGUUCAACAAAGGCUGCACCCUAACCACAAAUGGUCAAAUGGUGCUGGGAUUGUUGGCAAGUCACAUGUAGAAGAAUGAAACUUAAUCCUCAUGUCUCACCCUAUACAAAAAUCAACUCAAAAUGGAUCAAAGACUUGAAUCUAAGACCUGAAACCAUAAAAAUUCUAGAAUAUAAUAUUGGAAAAACUCUUCUAGACAUUGGCUAAGGUAGAGUUAAUGACUAAGAACCCAAAAGCAAAUACAACAAAAACAAAAAUAAAUAGAUGAGACCGAAUUAAACUAAAAAGCUUCCGCAGAGAGAAAAAAAAAUCAGCAGACUUGGCUGGGCAUGGUGGCUCACGCCUAUAAUCUCAGCACUUUGGGAGGCCAAGGUGGGUGGAUCACCUAAGGUUAGGAGUUCGAGACCAGCCUGGCCAACAUGGCGAAACCCCAUCUCUACUAAAAAUACAAAAAUUAUCUGAGCAUGGUGGUGCAUGCCUGUAAUCCCAGCUACUUGAGACGCUGAGGCAGGAGAAUCACUUGAACCUGGGAGACAGAGGUUGCAGUUAGCCGAGAUCGCAUCACUGCACUCCAGCCUGGGCGACAGAGCGAGACCCUGUCUCAAAAAUAAAAUAAAAUAAAAUAAAAUAAGGCCAGGCAUGGUGGCUCAUGCCUGUAAUCCCAGCACUUUGGGAGGCCAAGGUGGGUGGAUCACAAGGUCAGGAGAUUGAGACCAUCCUGGCUAACAUGGUGAAACCCCAUCUCUACUAAAAAAUACAAAAAAUUAGCCGGGUGUGGUGGCAGGCGCCUGUAGUCCCAGCUACUCGGGAGGCUGAGGCAGGAGAAUGGCAUGAACCCUGGAGGCAGAGCUUGCAGUGAGCUGAGAUCACGCCACUGCACUCCAGCCUGAGCGAGAGUGCAAGACUCUGUCUCAAAAAAAAUAAACAUAAAAAUAAAAUAAAAUAAAAAUAAUCAGCAGAGUAAACAGAGAACCCCCAGAGUGGGAGAAAAUUUUCACAGACUAUUCAUCCAACAAAGGACUAAUACCCAGAAUCUACCAGGAACUCAAACAAAUCAGCAAAAAAAAAAAAUCCCAUCAAAAAGUGGGCUAAGGACAUGAAUACACAAUUCUCAAAAGAAGAUAUACAAAUGUCCAACAAACAUGAAAAAAAUGCUCAACAUCACUAAUUAUCAGGGAAAUGCAAAUCAAAACCACAAUGCAAUACCACCUUACUCCUGCAAGAAUGGCCAUAAUUUAAAUAUCAAAAUAUAAUAGAUGUUGAUGUGGAUGUGGUGAAAAAGGAACACUUUCACACUGCUGGUGGGAAUGUAGUACAAACACUAUGGAAAACAGUAUGGAGAAUCCUUUGAGAACUAAAAGUAGAAUUACCAUUUGAUGCAGCAGUCCCACUAAUGGGUAUCUACCCAAAGGAAAAGAAGUCAUUGUAUGAAACAGACUUACACACAUAUGUGCAUAGCAAUACAAUUUGCAAUUGCAAAAAUAAGGAACCAGCCUAACCCUGAUUUCCAGUGGAAAUCCUAGGAAGUUAUGAUGUUAGUUCUGGGCUUGUAAAAGAAAAACAACAGCAAACAAACAAACAAAAAAGAAAAACCUUGGAAGCAAGUAAUUUGAGAUGGUUUAUGUCAGUUUUUGUGAUGAAAACUAUUUUCUAAUGUUUAGAAAGAUGUUUCCACAAUUUUUUGUUUCUUAACAGAACUAAAUAUUUAGCUUUUCUGUAUCAUAUAGAUGACUCAGACAUUUUAUGAUUAGCUAUUACCCAGGUUGACAUAACAUGACUCUAAGUUAUUGAAAAAGAUUUUUUAAACAAUGUAAAGCUCAUUUAUAAACUUUUAUUUAUUCUCUUUUGCAAGUAAACCUUAUGGUAAAUAAUAAAAAACAUAAAAAAGUAAAUAAAGUUUUAUUUAUUCUUAGGAAGUAUGCUUGAGUAGCUCAUUAAACAAAGUUAGCUACUGAAACUGUCUUUGCAGGGCUGAGCAGUGGCUCACGCCUGUAAUCCCAGCUCUUUAGGAGGCCCAGGCAGGUGCAUUACCUGAGGUCAGGAGUUAGAGACCAGCCUGGCCAACAUGGUAAAACUCUUUCUCUACUAAAAAUAUAAAAAAUUAGCCAGGUGUGGUGGUGGGUGCCUGUAAUCCCAGCUACUUGGGAGGCUGAGGCAGGAGAACCACUUGAACCCAGGAGGUGGAGGUUGCAGUGAGCUGAGAUCACAUCAUUGCACUCCAGCCUGGGCAACAAGAGCAAGACUCCAUCUCAAAAAAAAAAAAAAAAGAAAAGAAAAGAAAAAAAGAAACUGCCUUCGCAAAAUUAUAACUGAGACAGUGAAAGAAAUCUAACUUAACUGACCAUCUUGCCUCUAGCAUAUAAGCUGUCUUUGUUCAUUCCAUCUUGCCUAGGGACUAGAUUGUCUUUGUAGGACUAACAUUUGACACAAGAUUAGAAAUUAUGAUUUAGGAGUCAUGCAGCUGGAGGCUAAAAGAUUAUGACCCUCCCUAAAUUUCUCUCAAGAUCAGUGCUUGAGAUAUUUUGCAGACCCUGCACUUGAUGGAUCAGCUGGCUCCACCCAGAUUGAUAAACUGGCUCAUCUGAUCUUGUAGCCCCUGCCCAUGAACUGACUCACUGCAAGAAGACAGCUUCAACUCCCUAUGAUUUCAUCUCUGACCUGACCAAUCAGCACUCCUGGCUCACUGGGUUCUCCCCACCCACUAGGUUGUCCUUAAAAAUUCUGCUCCCAAAAUGCUCGGGGAGACUGAUUUGAGUAAUAAAACUCUGGUUUCUGCACAGCUGGCUCUGUGUGAAUUACUCCUUCUCUAUUGCAAUUCCCCUGUCUUGAGAAAUCAGCUCUGUCUAGGCAGUGGGCAAGGUGAACCCAUUGGGUGCUUACACCAUCAUCUUCAGUUUUUUCUUUGUAAUCAUGUUUACAUUCCACAAAUGUUAGGAACUUAACACUUUAGCCAGAACUCUAAAGUUAAAUACACGGGUAUUUUGUUAAUCAGAGGACACGGUUGUUUUCAGUAAAUCAACAGUAUUAAACUAGUCUUAUUUACCAACAAUUUACACAAAUCAUUUGAACUAAAAGGCAUUUGAGUUAGCUUAUAUUUUUCUCAUAAAAUAUAUAAUUUAAGUGCUUACUUUUUCUUUAACCCAAUUAAUUAGAGUUUUCGUGUAUUUUGGUAAUGAAAUAUCACAUCCACAUGGCAUAUAUGAACAUAUAUACAUACAGACAUACAAACAAAAGCAGAGUCUGUAGCUUGAUAAACUUCUUCAUUUGUCAGGGGGUUUUUUUGUUUUGGUUUUGGUUUUGGUUUUCUUUUUCUUUUUUUUUUUUUUUGAGAUGGAGUCUUGCUCUGUUGCCCAGGCUAGAGUGCAGUGGUGUGAUCUAAGCUCACUGCAACACCCACUUCCUGGGUUCAAGCGAUUCUCCUGCCUCAGCCUCCCGAGUAGCUGGGAUUACAGGCGCCUGCCACUGUGCCUGGCUAAUUUUUGUAUUUUUAGUAGAGAUGGGGUUUUGCCAUGUUGGCCAGGGUGGUCUCAAACUCCUAACCUCAUGAUCCGCCCACCUUGGCCUCCCAAAGUGCUGGGAUUACAGGCGUGAGCCACCGCACCCAGAAACCAUUUGCCAGUUUUUAAAUAGUUUCUCUCCCCUCUUUAGACUAUGGAGCCCUAAACAACUGUUAGCAACAUAACCCUUAAUUUGCACUUCCAAAGACAUGACUCUUAAGUGAAAAUUUACAUCCCAAAGGCACAGCACUUAGAUCUAAGCACCAUUCUCUGCUGAGAUGAAGAAGGAUAUGGGUAAAGAUUCAGUCGAAGUGAGAUUGCCAGGAAAAGUAUCUUAAACAAAGGCAGGGAUUGUUAUGUAAACUUUAAACCAAUGUCUUCCCCAUCUUAAGAGUUUUGUGGGUUUUUUGUUUGUUUUUUUUUAGACAAGGUGUCAUUCUGUUACCUGGACUGGGGUGCAAUGGUGCAAUUUUGGCUCGCUGCAGUCUCCACUUCCCUAAGGCCACAAGAUUUGAAGUUAGGAUAAUACAUGUUACACUGUUAACUUUUAGCAAACUUUACUUUUGUUGAAAACCAUGUAAGUUUGGGAUUUUUAAUUAUCCUUUGCUAUUACUAAGACCUCUUUAGUCCAAAUCAACUUGGAAUUAGUAUAGAUGGUUCCUUCCUGGUUCUGUAAGUACUUUAAGGCUUGGCUGAGUGCAGAGCUCACACGUUUGAGCAGACUGAUUAUUAGGCAAUUUUCCUAACUCUAUUUCUACGAGAGUUUCCCUAUCAAUUACUGAAUACUCGUUGUGUCUUUUUCCCUCAAUCAGCCAGGAGAAACCAUCCAUCAUCCUGUCCUGAAGGGAGUUCCUCCUAGGUCUGGUCGGACCUUUGUAUGGUAGUUAAUUAAGAUUUAGAUCCCCUGUUAGGAAACCUGCAGGGUUAAGGGAAUUAUCAGUGGUUAAUGUUAAAUCAUAUUUUUCUAACAGAAUGGCCUCAUAUGUUAAUAUUCUUAAGUCAGUAAGCUGCCUUUUUGCUUUUUUGACUUAGGAUAGUUCUGACCUGGUGAGGUGUGCUCACAAUGAGGUUUCCUCUAAAAGUUAUUUUUGUACUUUCUUCAGUUAGCAAAGCAGUUGCUGCUACAGAUUGAAUGCAUUUGGGCCAUCCCCGGGUUACUGGGUUAAGGAUUUUUGAUAGGAAGGCUACUGGUUGUCAGUGGCCUCCGUGCUUUUGGGAUAUGCCCUUGUUUACACUGACAACAAGAUGGAAUAGCUACUUGAGGGUAAAUCUAGGACAGGGGCAGUUACUAAUAGAUGUUUUAACCUUUCCACCUGUUGGAUUUCUGGUAAUUGCCAAAUGAGGAGGGGGUUUUGCCCAUCUUGCGUGAGCUUUUUGUAUAAGGGUUUUGUUUUUAGGGCAUAAGAGGCUAUCCAUAGAUGACAGUAUCUGACUUAUCUUAAAGUUUUCUAAGUUCUUGUUUGGUCUCCGGCAGAGGCAAGGAUAUGAUACUUUCAGUCCAUUCAAGCUCAAUUUGCCAUUUACCUUUGCUAAUUAAAUGACUUGUUCUAAUAUUUGACUAAAUAAAUUUGAAGACUUCGUAAACCCUUGAGGUAAGACUGUCUAUCUGUAUUGCUAUUUUCAAUCAGAGUGAGGGUCUUCUCACUCAAAGGCAAAUAGGUCCUGGCUGUCUUCCGUGAACGGACAAACCCAGAAGGCAUCUUUUAAAUCUAUUACCAUAACAACAGGGUGGGUAGUUUGGACUUGAUUAAUAGCUCUAAGGUCUUGCACUAACUGGUGUGACCCGUCUGGCUUCUUUACAGGCAGUAUUGGAGUUUUAUAGGGUCACGGAGAAGACUUUCAAUUAUAGGUUUUACAUUUACCCUGGCUUUUAAAGGAAUAGGGUACAUUGCUUUCUCUUUACUACUUCUAGCUCUCUCUCUCUCUCUCUCUCUCUCUCUGACUCUCUGUCUCUUUCUCUCUCUGACUCUCUUAAGUUUUUUUUUUUUUAUCCUUCUAAUAUUUUAACAUUAGUCCUGGGGGAUUAUUGGGGGAAUAUUAUUGUUGCUAGCUUUAUUUCUUUUAUCCUGUACCUUACUUGGGGUAUUUCCCAUUUUUGGGGUGAGGCUCAAUUUCCCUUACCAGAAAUAUCUCACCUUUUGGAGGGAGGCUCAAUUUCCCUUACUGGCAAUGUCUCACCUUUUGGGGUGAGGCUCAAUUUCCCUCACUGGAAAUGUCUUGCCUUUUAGGGUGAGGCUCAAUUUCCCCUACUGGAAAUGUCUCACCUUUUGGGGUGAGGCUCAAUUUCCCUCACUGGAAAUGUCUCACCUUUUGGGGCGAGGCUCGAUUUCCCUUACCGGAAAUAUCUUGCCUCUUUUUAAUCCCCAAGAUACCCCGACCAAGGAAUACUUCACUGCCCCCUGUGGUUUUUCUUUCCUUAGUCCCGGCUAAGGAAUGCUUUACCACCCCUACGGCUUCUUUUUCCUUGGUAUGUCCCAACCAAGGAAUGUUUCACUGCCCCUGCAGUUUUUCUUUCCUUAGUCCCUACCACCAAAGGAAUACUUUACCAGCUCCUCCGCUGUUUCCUUCUUUGGCUUGUGCGUGAUGUUGUCUGGUCCACGUGGUAUGUAAGGAUCCUUUACCCCAGGUCACCGGCCAGUUUCUUUCCACAUUGCUGAGAGUCUGGGUUUAUUCAUCACACCAGGUAGGUCUCGGUUCCUCACCCCUGAGGCUGCCGAAAUGAGGCGGCGGGGCACCUCCUUACAAGAGAGGACUGGAGACCGCCCAGAGGAGAGUGGGUCCCUGCAUGGGCCACCAAACUGUUAGAAAUGCAAAAUGCUUGUUCCCUGGUGCUGCAAAGAAAUAGCACUCAAACAUACAUUUAAUUUUCUCAGCAAGGCAAUUUUUACUUUCUGCAGAAAGGGUGCUCCUCACAGAUGGAACAAUGGUGAGAUCAUACCAGGACAGGGGAGGGGCAGGAGUUCUUAUUCCUGACGCUAGUAGCCCCUACUGCUGUGUUGUUGCCCUAAUGGCUAGGAUUGGACCGCACAGUCUAAGCUAAUUCUGAUUGGCUAUGUUAAAAAGAGCAGGAGUAUGAGCUGGAGUGGUGAGGUGAGUAGUUUGGUGGGAAGGGCAGUUAGGAACAGGUAACUAAAGGUGACUUAGGUCAGAGCAGGUGACCACCAAGGGAACAGCUGUGAACUACUGAUUUGGACUGGCGGGAAAGUUGUUUACUGAAACUAGAGGCAAGGAGUUGAAGAGAACUAGGAAGUUAAACUUUAAAAUGAAGAAUCAAAGAAUAAGAGAGCUGGACAUACUGACAUACUGAUUCUUUGAAGAGAAACUUAGGGUUCACUAUAUUUAACAGGAGGCCGAGACAGGAGGAUCGCGUGAGCCCAGGAGUUUGAGACCAGCAUGGGCAAAAUAGUAAAACCCCAUCUUAUUAAAAAAAAUUUUUUUUUUUGAAAUGGGGUCUCUCUCUGUUGCCUGGGCUGGAGUGCAUUGGUGCUAUCUCCACUCCCUCAACCUCUCAGCCAAUCCUCCCACCUCAGCUUCAUGAGUAGCUGGGACUACAGGCGUGCACCACCCUGCCCAGCUAAUUUUCGUAUUUUUUUGUAGAGACAGGUUUUCAUCAUGUUGCCCAGCCUGGUCUCGAACUCCUGAGCUCAGGCAAUCCUCUCACCUCGGCCUCCCAAAGUGCUGGGAUUACAGGCAUGAGCCACCACACCCGACCUUAAAAAAAAUUUUUUUUAAUAUGUGGAAAGCAGACACGAGUAGAAGCCAGCACAACUAGCUAACUUCCCCUAGUGAUAGAGGCAGGAGACAGGCAAAUGCCAUCUAUGUCAUUAUAUAUAGGGAGCUUGCCUAAACAUGCCCACAGUGGAAAAUUCCAUCCCUUAACACAUGCACAGUAAGAGAAAUAAAUCAAUGCAGAGUGGCCAUUUCCUUUAUUGCCUUCUGAACAUUUACCUUUCUAGUGUCCUUUCUUUUUGCAUCUCGCACAUUAAUCUCUAGCCUCAUCCGGCUCUUGAAUCCUUGCCUAACUUGACUUCUUUCACAUCUACAUCCACAUCCAUGUCCUCUCACGGUGCUAAUUUUUCUUUUUAUGAGAGCUGUUGCUAACAGAUUGGCUUUUUUUUCUUAAGUCUUUAAUUUACUUUUUUUUUUUUUUUUUUUUUUUUCUGAGUUCUCCUGCUCCUACGGCCAGCUGGCGGGGCUGGGCAACGGCACGGGCCUUGCCCCCGCGCACUGCUGUCUGUCUCUCCUGUUUUCUUCUGAUUCUCUUUUUCACACUUACUCUUAGUGUUUCUUUUUCCUUUGCUCUUUCCCAGUUUUGUUCCUUGGUCACAGUUAACAUACACCUUGGUGGCCACUUUUAUAGACUAGGUGGUAUUCAUGCCUGCAGCUUCUGCUUGAUGUUACCCUGGGCUUGCUUUACAAAUAAAAUAUUCAGUGCAUACUGAUUUUCAGCAGCCUCAGGGUUAAGUGGGGUAUAAAGCCAGAAUGCUUUAUAGAGUCUCUUAUAAAACUGACUUAGGCUCUUGUCAGCUCCUUGAAGGAUUUCUGAAAUCUUUUUUAUAUUACUUGCUUUUUUCUACCAACUUUUAGACUCUGCAGAAGUGCUUCUCAGUACCUCUGCAAAUGCUGAAGCUGAAUUGCAUUCUCUGGGUCUUUUUUUCCCUUUUUUCUAGAGUUUAACAGGCUCUUUUCUUUAUACAAUUUUUUAUGCACUUGGAGGGUUAAACAGGCAUACCCAGAGUCAGUGUAAAUGUUUACAAGUCUUACCUUCACUGAGUUCUAAGGCCCGAAUUAAAGCAAUGAGCUCAGCUUAACAACAGUGUCCAGGGUUACCACCGCAUAUUCUGCACCUCUCUCUCCUUGGGGGUUGAUGAAGCUGUUCCCGUCCACGUAUAGCUCCCAGUCUAUUGAUGCCCAAGGCUGGUCCUGGAGGUUAGGUCUGCUAGAGUAAAUUUGAGUCCAACACCUCUACACAGUUAUGCUCGACAGGGCUUUAGCUGCCGGGAGCAAGGUGGUGGGUUCAGGGUGUUUCCAGUUUAGUAGAUCAAUGGUUGAAAAGGGCUGAUAGAUGAAAGUCUGUUGUCCCCCCCAACCCCCCGGAUGUGGGCCUGGUCAUUAUAAUAGACAGGUCCUCGUGUCUCCCUGAGAGGCAUUUGCAUAGCCUCUCAGAUCUGAGAUGGCCCACUUGACUAUCUUGAUUUCCUUCCUUGGUCUCUCGAAGCUCCGAUCCUCCCCUUCAAGGUAAAACCUGGAGCGUGUUAGCUCCUGAAUCUCAUUUCUGAGGGGGUUGUUGGCCUCAGUAAAGCGGGGUAGGCUGGGAUAUAUGGAGAAAGAAUUUCUGUUAUCUCUGGCGGCUCCCGCAAAACUGGCUUCUCUUGCUGUUUCUGGGACUCCCUUUUUAACUCUGUCUGCCGGCGAAGCUGCUCUUUUACUUUUGGCUUUUUUGCAAUAAGCUGUUCAACAGGGCUAAAUUUAUGCUGGUUUUGCCUAUAUUAUAUUUAACCAUGAGUCAAUAUAAAGGAAUUUGAUCUAGGUACACUGGCUGCCCUCUGACCCCUGUCACCACCUUAAAUACAUGGCCAAUAGUUCCCUGUCUAUAGUUCCUUCGGUGGGCCAUCUAACACCAAAAGAGGGCAAUUCUAAUUCACACAGAGUUCUUAACCUCUAGGGGGUUAACUUAACUCUAUAAUCUCCCACAGAACCUUUCCUAAGGUUCUGUAACAUGCAUUUUAAUAGAGUAAGUUUUGAUGCUUUGAUGACUUUCCUUUUAUUUUUCUUUUUGAAAUUUUUUAACAUAGUUCCUAGCGGAGUGGGCUUACUUUGUGUCUGACCUAUUUUUCUCUUGAAACAAAAAAAAUUCACACUACAAGAAGGAAAGGGUAAAAGGUCACUCACUCGUCUAAUUCACACUAAAUCAAAAUCAAAACUAAAACCAAAGUGUUGUUAAAGGCACACCUGUUCGUCAAGCAAUUUAUGCCAAGUCAAAAUCAGAACCAAAACCAAAGUACCAAUAAAGGCAUGCCUGUUUAUCAAGCAAUUCAAGUCAAGUCAAAAUCAAGGUUAAAACCAAAGUAUCAAGCAAUUCAAGUCAAGUCAAAAACAAAAACCAAAGUGCCAGUACAGACACGCUGUGGGUGAUCAGGCCACGCUUCCACUCAAACGGAGUGGGCAAGUUCCAAAGACCAGUCUUACCAAGUUUCAGAUGUCCGGACUCCAAGUGCCUGUUCCUUCCCGGUGUUCAGCCACUGCGUUGAUCCUCCACCGGGGCCUGCCACGCGCUGCUCUGGCAAGGCGUUCCACUGGGGCAAAUGCCUACCCGGGAGCACUCUCAGGAUCCGCAUUGCUCAAGCCGGAGUCCCCCACAGGGAUGCUCUACAGAGCAUGCAUAAGCUGCCUAAGGGGCUACCUCGACCGUCAGUUAAUCACCUCAUUUCCCGGUCAGGGAACCAAGAAAUGUAGCAGGACGAGCCACAGACGAAACUCCUCAGACACCGAAUUAAAGAAGGAAGAGGUUUUUAUUCGGCCGGGAGCAUCAGCAGACUCAUGUCUUAAGAGCCGAGCUCUCCGAAAAAGAAAUUCUUGGCCUUUUUAAAGGCUUACAACUUUAAGGGGUCCAUGUGAAAGGGUCGUGAUAAAUCGAGCAAGCGUGGGAAAUGUGACUGGAGGCUACAUGCAUCAGCUAACAGAACAAAAAGUUUUACAGCGCUUUUUUCAUACAGUGUCUGGAAUUUACAGAUAACACAGGUAGUUUAGGUCAGGGGUUGAUGUUACUAUUAUUACUUUUUUUAACUCCUAGGGCCAGGUGGUGGUGCCAAGGUUGUCUGGCUAUUUAUCUUACUUUUGUUUUUUUCCAACUUUUUGCUUUUUAUCUCCUCCUGUCUUGUGAACUAGGCAAGGUGGGGGGAGGAGGGCAGCAGGAGUAGUAGUGGUCUCCUUCCUUAAGACUAAGGGCCAGCAUGCACACUGGAAGAAUGGGGUGGAGCCACCAGGAAUUCAUGCCUAAUGCUGGAGAGGAGCCACGCCUUUUCAACUUGCAUGUGAUGGCCUUGUAUUCAAUUUGUGAGGUGGAUACCUGCAUAUAGGACCCUCCUUUUGCUUAAUAAAUUCCGCCCUCCUCACCUUUCUUUUCUUUUUUUUGAGACUGAGUCCUGCUCUGUUGCCCAUGCAGGAGUGCAAUGGCAUGCUCUUGGCUCACUGCAAAACUCUGCCUCCCAGGUUCAAGUGAUUCUCCUGCCUCAGCCUCCUGAGUAGCUGGGACUACAGGCAUGUACCACCAUGCCUGGCUAAUUUUUUGUAUUUUUAGUAGAGAUGGGGUUUCACUAAUUUGCCCAGGCUGGUCUUAAACUCCUGACCUCAAGUAUCUGCCCACCUCAGCCUCCCAAAAUGCUGAGAUUACAAGUGUGAGCCACCGCACCUGGCACCAUCCUCACCUUUCAAUGUUUCUGCGUGCCUAAUUUUUCUGGAUUUAGCUGAACCAAGGAACAAAAAAUUCUGCAUCAUUAGUUGUGCUGGCUUCCACUUGUGCCUGCCAGUAUCCCACAUUUACAUUUAAUCUUGGGUUCCCAAAGACAGGAACCCCAUGAGACCAGGCCACACAGUGCUUCCACAGCACACCUUUCUGUAAAGACAUUCCCCUGAGGCUAGUGGGCAACCCAAUGCAAAUCAGCCCACUCUGUGAUCAGCUCAUCUUCCAUCAGAGUCUUAACCAUUGGUAGUGAAUGUUCCCACAACCUCCAGGUGUUCAAACCUGCCUUUUAAUCUAAGUGCGUAAAGAACAAAUAGCCCAUUGCAAUAAUAAUCAUUCACUACAACCCUGUCAGCCACUUUCCAGGUUUUGCCAGUGACUCGUCAGCCACUGCACACGCAAAAGUCAAGUUCUCUCUCAUAGUAAAAAGUAAUUCCUGGUACCCCAAAAGCCAAAGAUCAGGUACUACUUUUAACAGCUCUUGGCCUGGCACAGUGGCUCAUGCCUGUAAUCCCAGCACAUUGAGAGGCCGAGGCGGGCAGAUCACCUAAGGUCAGGAGUUCAAGACCAGCCUGGCCAACAUGUUGAAACCGUGUCUCUACAAAAAUACAAAAAUUAGCCGGGCAUCAUGAUGGGUGCCUGUAAUCCCAGCUACUCGGGAGGCUGAGACAGGAGAAUUGUUUGAACCCAGGAGGUGGAGGUUGCAGUGAGCCGAGAUCGCACCACUGCACUCCAGACUGGGUGACUGAGACUCCAUCUCAAAAAAAAACAACAACAAAAAACAGCUCUUAGAAUUCUUCAUUAGUUACAAUUUUGUUUCCUCCGUGGCAAUAUGAAUUGCAAUUUGUGAAUUAAAAACAUUAGAAUUUGAAAAAAUUUUGGCUGGACAUGGUAGCUUAUGCCUGUAAUCCCUAGCACUUUGGGACGCCGAGCGAGGCAGGCAGAUCACCUGAGGUCUGGAGUUCAAGACCAGCCUGACCAACAUGGUGAAACCCCUUCUCUACUAAAAAAAUACAAAAAUUAGCCCAGUGUGGUGGCGCAUGCCUGUGGUCCCAGCUACUCAGGAGGCUGAGGCAGGAGAAUCGCUUGAACCCGGGAGGCAGAGGUUGCAGUGAGCCAAGAUCAUGCCACUGUACUCCAGCCUGGGUGACAGAGUGAGACUCAGUCUCAAAAAAUAAAUAAAUAAUAAUAAAUAAAAUAAAAUAAAAUUCAAAAUUAUCUGGACAUCUGAAUUUUAUCUGACAUGCCCUUUCAUCAUAUUGCUAUAUCCUUUGUCUUUCCUCAAUUAUAUUUUAUCAAGAAGGCCUUUUCCAACCAUUUUAUUUAGUAUGGCUCCCCCACCUCCACUUCUCUCAUAAAUUGUUCUGGCCCUAGCACCAGCAUACAGCAUAGUUUCCUGUUUAUUUGCUUAGUGUCUGUCUCCUUCAGUAUAGAAUGUAAUCUUGUGGCGGUCAUGGUGGCUAACACCUGUAAUCCCAGUACUUUGGGAGGCUGAGGCACGUGGAUCAUUUGAGGUCAGGAAUUCAAUACCAGCCUGACCAAUGUGGUGAAACCCUAUCUCCACUAAAAAUACAAAAAAAUUAGUCUGGCAUGGUGGCACAAGCCUGUAGUCACAGCUACUCAGGAGACUGAUGCAGGAGAAUUGCUAGAACCCGGGAGACAGAGGUUGCAGUGAGCUGAGAUCGCACCACUGCACUCCAGCCUGGGCGACAGAGUGAGACUCCAUCUCAAAAAAAAUAAAGUAAUCUUGUGAGGGCAGGAUUUUGAUGCUAUGUUCACCACUGACUCCAAAAUGGCACAUAGCGGGCUCUCAGUAGAUAUCUAUUGAACAAAUGGAAGCAUAAAUAAACAAGCAAUGCUACACUUGCUUUCUCCAGCACCAUGGGAGCAGAUCCAGGGAGCAGACAGGGAAAGAAGGCUACAGCCCCUGCCCCCUGGUGGAGCUGGAAGAAUCAAUAAUUUUCAUUUAUUUAUUCAUCUAAUGUGCUUUGCACGCUCCCUAUCUGCCAGGAUCAGCUUGUUGCCAGGGAUACCGGGUAAACAAUCCCAUAAGGUUCCUGUGGUCUGGAGGAAGAAACAGACAUUAACGCACAAUAGGGAGAUGGUUACUUAAUUAUAGUGGUGAACUGUCAAUGAAGGAAAAGCAAAAAAAAAAAAAAGGUCUAACCUGGUAUAGGGGUCAGGGGAGACUUCCUCAAGGAAGGGAUAUGGAGUUGAGGCCUGAGGCUGAGCAUGAAUUAACUGGAGGCAGAGCUCUGUGGGUGGAGAUGUCAUUCCAAGCAGGAAGCCCGGUUAAUGCAGGUACCUUGAUAGAAGGAAGGCCAGGGUGAGGAAAAAGGCCGGGUUACAGGCAGUUACUAGGAACCUUGUGGCCUGACUUGUUGCUGAGGAGGAAGCAAUAGCCAGCUCAGAGGGCCUUGUAGUUCAGGUGAUGCCCCAUUUCUGUGUUAGUCUAUUUUUGCGUUGCUAUAAAGAAAUACCUGAGGCUGGGUAAUUUAUACAGAAAAGAGGUUUAAUUUGGCUCACAGUUUAGUAGGCGCCAGGAAGCAUGGCGCUGGCAUCUGCUCCUGGUGAAGGCUCAGGGAGCUUUCAAUCAUGGCGGAAGGUGAAGGAGGAGCAGGUGUGUCACAUGGUAAGAGUGGGACAGAGAGACAGAGACAGGGAGAGAGAGAGUGCAAGAGAGAGCAAAGGAGGGAGGAGGAGCCAGCCUUCCUUAAACAGCCAGCUCUCAUGUGAACUAACAGAGUAAGUACUCACUCAUCACCACGGGGAGGACACCAAGCCAUUCAUGAGGGAUCCGCCCCCAAGACCCAGACACCUCCCACCAGGCCCCACCUCCAACACUGGGAAUCGCAUUUCUUUUUCUUUGUUUUUUAAUUUUGUACUUUAAGUUCUGGGAUACAUGUGCAGAACAUGCAGGUUUGUUACAUAGGUAUACAUGUGCCAUGGUGGUCUGCUGCACCUAUCAACCUGUCAUCUAGGUUUUAAGCCCCACAUGCAUUAGGUAUUUGCCCUAAAGCUCUCCCUCCCCUUACUCCUCCCCCAUAGACCCUGGUGCGUGACAUUCCUGUCCCUGUGUCCAUGUGUUCUCAUUGUUCAACUCCCACUUAUGAGUGAGAACAUGUGGUGUUUGGUUUUCUGUUCCUGUGUUAGUUUGCUGAGGAUAAUGGCUUCCAGUUUCAUCCAUAUCCCUGCAAAGGACAUGAACUCAUUCUUUUUUAUGGCUGCAUAGUAUUCCAUGUUGUAUAUUUGCCACAUUUUCUUUAUUCAGUCUAUUAUUGAUGGACAUUUGAGUUGGUUCCAAGUCUUUGCUAUUGUAAAUACUGCUGCAAUAAACAUACAUGUGCAUUUGUCUUUUUUUUUGAGUCAGAGUCUCGCUCUGUCGCCCAGGCUGGAGUGCAGUGGCAAGAUCUCAGCUCACUGCAAACUCCGCCUCCCAGGUUCAAGCAAUUCUCCUGCCUCAGCCUCCCGAGUAGCUGGGAUUACAAGCGCACGCCACCAUACUCGGCUAAUUUUUUGUAUUUUUAGUAGAGAAGGGGUUUUGCCAUGUUGUCCAGGCUGGUCUCAAACUCCCAGCCUCAUGAUCUGCCUGCCUCAGCCUCCCAAAGUGCUGGGAUUACAGGUGUGAGCCACAAUGCCUAGCCAUGUGUCUUUAUAGUAGAAUGAUUUAUAUUCCUUUGAGUAUAUGCCCCAUGGGAGGGAAUCACAUUUCAACAUGAGAUUUGGAGGGGACACACAUCUGAACCACAUCACACAGCAUAUUCCCAACUCCAGCUCCCUCCUCUCCACAAGAAUGUAGGAUACCCAUCACUCCCAGGAUCAGCUUCCUUGAGCCCAAUCCUCUGUAACUCACUGAGAUGCUAUGAAGUGCCUGGUAGGUGCCACACUGUGCCACAGUCAUGCUCCAAGACAGUGUGGAGUGAGGGCCAGAGGGCCAGGAGGCAGGAUUGGUUUGGAGACAUUGCCUUUCUUCAAACCUCAGUUUCCUCUUAAAUCAAAUAAAUGAUUGCAGAAGAUAAGCUCAUAUUAAUUCCAUUUCUAGGAAAAAUCUGUGUUCCAAACAGUAGCACUGACUAAUGGAAAGUACAACUGGCUGUUUCCCUUGAACAGUGGGUUUAUUGUUGUUUUUCCAAUUAUAAAAGUAAUAAGAUUAUUUGUAAACUAUAGAACAGUAGAAAAAGUUUCUUGAAUGAGAUUUGGUUUUCAAUCAGGGCAAAUAAAGACUUUUCUGGGAUUAAGAGGGCUGUUUCUUCUCCAUUACUUUAUACGGACCCGUACUGGGGACUUGUCAGCUGUUCAAGUACAACGCACCCAGUUUUGGUUCUGUACCAGGAUUAGGCCUACAAUAUUUCAGAAUUCAUAUACAAACCCCAAUAAAGUGUUAAAGGAGAUGACUGCCCUAUAACCUAUGUUUUGCUGAAUGUUUACUAUGAGGUUUUUUUUUUACCAUCCUCAUGAGUAUGGUAUUGUAACUGAAACUCUCCAGGAAAAUUCCUCUGCUUAAAACUAAAAAUCAAGUGUAUCUCAGGAAACUCUACUGUCCCAUCUGAAAUGCCUCUGUUGUGUGUUGUCUGCAAAGGUGGAGUCUCCCUGUUUUGUUCAGGCUGGUCUCGAACUCCUGGGUUCAAGGAAAUCUCUCUCCUCACCCUCCUGUGUAGCGGGGACUGUAGGCACCUGGCUGUGGUGGAUACUAUUAAGCCAAAUUCCAGUCAGCAUCCUCUUUUCAAUGAAGUUGAAAGGAGAGAUGAUGAAACUGGCAGUGUUACUGAAUGGGAAAUAAAGGUGGGAAUACACAUUGUGAGUGAAGACACGGAAGUAACUUCUGCAAUACAACCUUGUAAGAGUCUUAAUGCUACACUCCUUUGUUUAUCAAAUGAUGUACCUUUAUCGUAAGGGAAGAACCUGGGCCAUUCCCUCUGGUGUUGAGAGGCAAUUUGGAAACUCUGCCAUUUCUUAGGACUGAGUAUUUAAUAUACUAUUUUGUGGAAAUCUGAGAGGCAGAAAUGGGAUUUAAUGAUCUCAACUGUCAUCCAUCUAAAAAACCUAAUUUGCAAUUUUAAAUAAAAUGGCAUGUUGCCUUCUACUAUUCUCUUUUUGUUUUUUGAGACGGAGUCUUGCUCUGUCACCCAGGCUGGAGUGCAGUGGCACAAUCUCAGCUCACUGCAACCACUGCCUCCUGGGUUCAAGCGAUUCUCCUGCCUCAACCUCCCGGGUAGCUGGGAUUACAGGCACACGCCACUAUUCUAGGCUAAUUUUUUUAUUUUUUGAGACGGAGUCUCGCUCUUUGCCCAGGCUGGAGUGCAGUGGUACAAUCUCAGCUCACUGCAACCUCUGCCUCCUGGGUUUAAGCGAUUCUCCUGCCUCAGCCUCCUGAGUAGUGGGAUUACAGGUGCGCACCACCACGCCUGGCUAAUUUUUGUAUUUUUAGCAGAGACGGGGUUUCACCAUGUUGGCCAGGCUGGUCUCAAACUCCUGACCUCAGGUGAUCUGCCUGCCUCAGCCUCAGCCUCCCAAAGUGCUGGCGUGAGCCACGGCUCCCAGCCUACUAUUCCCCUUUUAAAACAGGAACCAACCCUGCAUUUAAUUUUAUGAAGUCUGAUUUAUUUAUUUAUUUAUUUAUUUAUUUAUUUAUUUAGAGAUGGAAUCUCAUUCUGUCACCCAGGCUGGAGUGCGGUGGCGCAAUCUCGGCUCACUGCAACCUUUGCCUCCUGGGUUCAAGCGAUUCUCCUGCCUCAGCCUCCCGAGUAGCUGGGACUAAAGGUACCUGCCACCACGACUGGUGAAUUUUUGUAUUUUUAGUAGAGAUGGGGUUUCACGAUGCUGGUCAGGCUGUUCCACUAUGUUGGCCAGGCUGGUUUCAAACUCCUGACCUCAGGUGAUCCGCCUGCCUCGGCCUCCCAAAGUGCUGGGAUUACAGACGUGAGUCACUCUGCCCAGCCGAA
rnacentral:lncRNA from 1 species